AGAACAGUAAUGGUGACCCCAUCAUGAACACAGAAACUAAAAUCAGCACGUUAAAGGGUGCAAAAUUUUCAUUUAAAUUUUUUUUUCUAUUUGCAUCCCUUAGAGAAGUGAAGAAACUUACAACGGAAGUAAUGUCAUACUUCCAGAGAUGGGAGGUAACGAAGUAGAUUUUUCAGCAUCCGUCCAUCCAUUCGUGGCAGGGGAGUCUGAGCCUAUUAACCACUAAGGUCGUACCCAUGAUAACCUCUGAUACCAGCAAAGGGGUGUCACUCCACCUAUGGUGCCGCUGCUUCUCUAAUCCAACAUUAAGGUUAUGCUGUAAACAGGGUAAAUAAUGACAGAUUUGAGCAGCGCUCACUCCAGAGAUGAUCCAGAAGUAGCUGGCCGCGGUGCAGACAUUAUUUUCUCAUCAGCUGAAGUUUAUGCGAGGUGGCCCUCACAGUCACUGUGGCUUUCACUGGAGGCUAGAUCUGUGCCCAACGCCGUGAUGUCUUUCCUGGGUUUUAUCUCUUCUAUAUCGCAGUCUGGAAUGCAUUGCUAAGCCCGGCCACCAAGGGCUAGCAUAUAGCUGUCUCUGCAGGCUUUGUACAGGAUGAAGAAGUCAUAAUCCUCAAACAGACUUAAAUUCCUCCAGAAAGGCUCUUGAUCCUGAAUCCACUCAUUUUCUUCAAACAACUCAGCCCAAAAGAGAAGGGAUAUUUGGGCAUGGCUGAAAUCCUUGAUUGAAAUCUGCUACAAGUGGGCACAGAUACACAUGUGGGUCGAUACACAUGCACACAAAUAAGCCUAACACACAUAAAUACAUAUGCACAUACACCUCCCCAAACGUCCCUUGCUGUCGGUGAAAGCCUAGGCUGUUGAGAGGGCCUCUCUGAGCUCUUAUUAAAAGGUAAACUUCUCUAAGGCCAGGGAAUCAUGUCAAUCACAGGUUGUGUUUUCGCACCGAGCCCAAAGGCUGCUCUCUCCACCCUGUCAGACGCUGUUAUCACCCUCAAAGCCAUAUCAGAAUGCUGUUUGUUCUGCGCUUUAGUUUCACCCACACGGCGGAUUCAAAAAGGUACAGGUCUAUUUGAUAGUGUAUAUUUCAUUGCCGGAGAGAGACUGUGUUUGUCUUGCUGUGUUUGUCAGCUCAUAUUUGAGCUGAGGGUUCCUAUUAAAACUAAACACCAUAUCAGAGGAAUAUUGCCACCGCUAGGUUCUUUUAAAUCGCAUAUUGAGCCCAUGGAGUGUGGAAGCAAUUUAGUUGUAGCAUAGUUUAUAAGUGUGUCUGUGCUUGUGAUGUUUCUAUUUACUCUUGAUUCUAAUUUAUUUACACACAGCAGCCUCUCGCUGCAUUUUUCAUAUACUGUUAUAAUUACUUUCGUUAUAUUGUCACUUCCAGUUCUCUAAAAAUAUUACCUUGUUUGCAUUUUCACUUAUUUAAUAAAUCCCUUAGAGAGUCAUGGCUAUUUUCAUUAAGCAGGAUUGAUCAAGUCCUCAAGGCAGCAUCAGCUAACAGUUAAAAACUUCAUGGGCUUUCACCGCUAUACUUCACUUGCAGUGUGCUGUGCAUUAGUGCUGGGCAGAAAUUGACAUCACAGUAAUUUUUUAAGGUUCUGGCAGUUUCAGUGUGUCACAAUACUGUUAUUAUUAUUAUUGUUACUACUCCUGCAAAAAAGUGGCUUUAUAAAGGUUUACAAUGGCUCACUAAACACUUGAAUGUCAUCAUAAAAGAAAUGAAACAUAAAUAGCUUAAAAUAAAAUCACCCAAGA